CCCUUAGAUGGUCUGGGCGGCACGCGCGCUACAAUGAUGCAUUGAAAAAGUCUUCUGACCUUAGAAGGUUGGGUAUUCUCCAAAGUGCAUCGUGAUGGGAAUAGUUUAUUGCAAUUUUUAAUCUUGAACGAGGAAUUCCUAUUAAGUACAGGUCAUCAACUUGUGUUGAUUACGUCCCUGCCCUUUGUACACACCGCCCGUCGCACCUACCGAUUGGAUGGUCCGGUGAAGCCUCGGGAUUGUGGUUCUUGCCGCUUUAUUGUGGCGUGACCGCGAGAACUUGUCUAAACCUUAUCAUCUAGAGGAAGGUGAAGUCGUAACA
rnacentral:rRNA from 1 species